GCAGAUUUAGCUCAGUGGUAGAGCGCAUGCUUAGCAUGCACGAGAUCCUGGGUUCAAUCCCUGGUACCUCUA
rnacentral:tRNA from 1 species